CAAUUCUUGUAAGAGGGCUCAAAGAAACGAUAGUGAAAGUAUGCAGCUUCAACAGUUCAACCACAAAGGAAAGCAGACCUGUGUGUUUCUCUCCUUUUUUUUUAUUUUCCCUCUCGCUCACCCCUUUUGUUAUUCCCAGCUCUGGACUAUCCACGCAGCAGGACCAACGUGGGAUCUAAGGACAGUCAAUAAGAACAUUUCAGUUCAUCUUUGAUUCAUAGAUUGAAGACCUGAAGAUCAUUCUUACCUCACAACAGGUGGAAAGAGGAAAAAUACCUGUCCCAUGUCAGUGCUCACCUUUGCUGACCGAGGCAGAUGUGGUGAUAGAAGGUGUGCAUAAGAAGAGGAGAGGUACAGAAUCCUUCUGAGUUGGUGCAGUAUCGAUCACCAAGCAGAAUGGAAGUCAGAGAGAAAUUCCAAAAUGUUUGGAAAAAUCAUUAUAAUGUAUUGCCUAUAUCACUUUAUUCCUUAAUUAUGGUUGUGGUAGAGGAAAUAAUGGAGCUGGAAUUUAAAUGUCCUCAGGAAAAGUCAUUAAGGGUAUGGUAUGUUGCUUCUUACUUUUCCUGUCCAGCCUUCAUUACAUUUGUCCUGAGCUUGACCUCCCAUCCCGCCUGCAUUCCCUGGGCUCGCUGUGUUGGGAAGUGCUCGUGCUACCGCAAGACUCAGAUCAUUUUUAGGGCAUUUUUACCUCCUGUGAUUUGGUGUGUGAUCCUCCUGUGCGAUGGCAGAUACAUCGACUGUGUGGUUUCAGGAAAUGAAGGAAACAACACCCAAAGCAGAGCAGCUGAAUUACCCAGUGAGUCCUACACCAAAUCUCAGGUGUCAGGGCUGUUCAUUCUCACUGCUGUUGUCACUCUCUGUGGCCUGUGCCACGUGUUCCCCUGCUGGUUCUGCUGUAAAAAUGAAGAAGGACAUUGGAGAGAGGAGCUGCAGAGCCGAUUAGAGGAAGGAGCCAGGAAUCACAUUGAAGAAUUGAAGAACGAGGGUGUAGAGCAGAUCAUGGAAGAGAGAGUGAAACCUCUUCUGCAGCCUGCUAAUGCCAAUUUCUGGGAAAACAUAGAUUUAAGAAGCAUAGGAAAAGAAAUAAAGAAAGUGGUAGAGUCUGCUCUUAAAAAUAAGCCAGCAGAGAGACAGCCAGCAGGGCAACAGGGUUUGCCUCUCACCCCUCUGGUUCGGGGACCCCUUUCCUAGAAUUAAGGGUCCCCCUCAGCUCCCCUUAACUUAGCGGGCCCCAUCAUCCCUUAGUGCCUCUUCUCCAUCACAGACCCCCCCAUCCUGCAGGGAUUGACCACAGCACAAGCGGCUCCAGGAAUUAACUCUGCGCUCUGAGGAGGUGGCAGCAGCUAUGGCCAAAAAGCCAGAGCAGGUGCUGACGUGGCAACACCAGGAUGCUGGACCUGCCCACCCUGGGCUUGCUGGGGAAAGCUCCCACUGUUCUCCCAGCUCAGCUCUCCUGGCCUCCAAAGCAGGUCUGGCUCUUACACUGCUGUCAGAAGAGUAAGUUGGGUUUCUCCUCCUCUUCUCAGCUCCAGCUUAGAAGCCAGCAGGUACCAUCAGACAGCACCUGUCACCUUAUUAUCCCUCUUCCUAUUGCUUGGCCCUCAUUUUGUUGCUCUUUUACCUCUCUUUCUUUACCCUUGUGACUAAUUUCAAUUUUCAAUUUUGCUAUGGAUAUACCCAGAAAUUGUUAUUCUAGUAAUGUAAAUAGAAAAAUCUUCGGUAAUCAGAGGCUUCCUUUGCAUAAAGCAAGGAAGAAAGAAGUAAAGAAGAAGGAACAAUAAUCAAGCUUAAAUGGCAGCAGAAAUGUGAGCUGGUCCUUGCUGAACAUUGUGCUGGUUUGCCCUGUUCCCGUGGGCAAGGACUCAACAAGGGCCUCAUGGCAAUAAAACUUUGUGAGCCCAA